rnacentral:rRNA from 1 species
UGAACGCUGGCGGCAGGCCUAACACAUGCAAGUCGAGCGGUAGCACAGGAGAGCUUGCUCUCCGGGUGACGAGCGGCGGACGGGUGAGUAAUGUCUGGGAAACUGCCUGAUGGAGGGGGAUAACUACUGGAAACGGUAGCUAAUACCGCAUAACGUCGCAAGACCAAAGUGGGGGACCUUCGGGCCUCAUGCCAUCAGAUGUGCCCAGAUGGGAUUAGCUAGUAGGUGGGGUAAUGGCUCACCUAGGCGACGAUCCCUAGCUGGUCUGAGAGGAUGACCAGCCACACUGGAACUGAGACACGGUCCAGACUCCUACGGGAGGCAGCAGUGGGGAAUAUUGCACAAUGGGCGCAAGCCUGAUGCAGCCAUGCCGCGUGUAUGAAGAAGGCCUUCGGGUUGUAAAGUACUUUCAGCGAGGAGGAAGGCAUUAAGGUUAAUAACCUUAGUGAUUGACGUUACUCGCAGAAGAAGCACCGGCUAACUCCGUGCCAGCAGCCGCGGUAAUACGGAGGGUGCAAGCGUUAAUCGGAAUUACUGGGCGUAAAGCGCACGCAGGCGGUUUGUUAAGUCAGAUGUGAAAUCCCCGGGCUCAACCUGGGAACUGCAUUUGAAACUGGCAAGCUUGAGUCUUGUAGAGGGGGGUAGAAUUCCAGGUGUAGCGGUGAAAUGCGUAGAGAUCUGGAGGAAUACCGGUGGCGAAGGCGGCCCCCUGGACAAAGACUGACGCUC